rnacentral:rRNA from 1 species
AUGAACGCUGGCGGCGUGCCUCAUCCAUGCAAGUCGCGCGAACGGACGAGAAGCUUGCUUCUCUGAUGUUAGCGGCGGACGGGUGAGUAACACGUGGAUAACCUACCUAUAAGACUGGGAUAACUUCGGGAAACCGGAGCUAAUACCGGAUAAUAUUUUGAACCGCAUGGUUCAAAAGUGAAAGACGGUCUUGCUGUCACUUAUAGAUGGAUCCGCGCUGCAUUAGCUAGUUGGUAAGGUAACGGCUUACCAAGGCAACGAUGCAUAGCCGACCUGAGAGGGUGAUCGGUCACACUGGAACUGAGACACGGUCCAGACUCCUACGGGAGGCAGCAGUAGGGAAUCUUCCGCAAUGGGCGAAAGCCUGACGGAGCAACGCCGCGUGAGUGAUGAAGGUCUUCGGAUCGUAAAACUCUGUUAUUAGGGAAGAACAUAUGUGUAAGUAACUGUGCACAUCUUGACGGUACCUAAUCAGAAAGCCACGGCUAACUACGUG